UACAGAGGGGGCAAGCGUUAUUCGGAAUUAUUGGGCGUAAAGGGCGCGUAGGCGGCCUGGCAAGUGGAAGGUGAAAUCCCUCGGCUUAACCGAGGAACUGCCCUCCAAACUGCUUGCUUGAGUCCGGGAGAGGUGAGUGGAAUUCCCAGUGUAGCGGUGAAAUGCGUAGAUAUUGGGAGGAACACCGAUGGCGAAGGCAGGUCUCUGGGCCACUACUGACGCUGAGAAGCGAAAGCAUGGGGAGCGAACAGG
rnacentral:rRNA from 1 species